rnacentral:rRNA from 1 species
AAGCAUCGGCUAACUCCGUGCCAGCAGCCGCGGUAAUACGGAGGAUGCGAGCGUUAUCCGGAUUCAUUGGGUUUAAAGGGUGCGUAGGCGGACUAUUAAGUCAGUGGUGAAAUCCUGCAGCUUAACUGCAGAACUGCCAUUGAUACUGAUAGCCUUGAGUUUGGUUAAGGUAGGCGGAAUGUGUAAUGUAGCGGUGAAAUGCUUAGAUAUUACACAGAACACCAAUUGCGUAGGCAGCUUACUGAGCCGACACUGACGCUGAGGCACGAAAGCGUGGGGAUCGAACAGGAUUAGAUACCCUGGUAGUCCACGCCGUAAACGAUGAUUACUCGCUGUUGGCGAUACACUGUCAGCGGCUAAGCAAAAGCAAUAAGUAAUCCACCUGGGGAGUACGGCCGCAAGGUUGAAACUCAAAGGAAUUGACGGGGGCCCGCACAAGCGGAGGAACAUGUGGUUUGAUUCGAUGAUACGCGAGGAACCUUACCUGGGCUUAAAUGUAGAGUGCAUUUUCUAGAGAUAGGAAUUCCCUUCGGGGCUUUCUGCAAGGUGCUGCAUGGUUGUCGUCAGCUCGUGCCGUGAGGUGUCGGGUUAAGUCCCAUAACGAGCGCAACCCUUAUCGUUAGUUGCCAUCUGGUAAAGCAGGGGACUCUAGCGAAACUGCCACCGUAAGGUGAGAGGAAGGUGGGGAUGACGUCAAAUCAGCACGGCCCUUAUGUCCAGGGCUACACACGUGUUACAAUGGUCGGUACAGAGGGCAGCUACCUGGUGACAGGAUGCUAAUCUCGAAAACCGAUCUCAGUUCGGAUCGAAGUCUGCAACUCGACUUCGUGAAGCUGGAUUCGCUAGUAAUCGCGCAUCAGCCAUGGCGCGGUGAAUACGUUCCCGGGCCUUGUACACACCGCCCGU